rnacentral:rRNA from 1 species
AGAGUUUGAUCCUGGCUCAGGAUGAACGCUAGCGGCAGGCUUAACACAUGCAAGUCGAACGGUAACAUUGGUGCUUGCACCAGAUGACGAGUGGCGCACGGGUGCGUAACGCGUAUGCAAUCUACCUUUUACUGAAGAAUAGCCCAGAGAAAUUUGGAAUAAUCCUUCAUAAUAUCAUUUAUCAGCAUUGAUUUUUGAUUAAAGCUCCGGCGGUAAAAGAUGAGCAUGCGUUCUAUUAGCUAGUAGGUGAGGUAACGGCUCACCUAGGCUACGAUAGAUAGGGGCCCUGAGAGGGGGAUCCCCCACACUGGUACUGAGACACGGACCAGACUCCUACGGGAGGCAGCAGUGAGGAAUAUUGGACAAUGGAGGCAACUCUGAUCCAGCCAUGCCGCGUGCAGGAUGACUGCCCUAUGGGUUGUAAACUGCUUUUAUAUAGGAAGAAACACUCCCACGUGUGGGGGCUUGACGGUACUAUAUGAAUAAGGAUCGGCUAACUCCGUGCCAGCAGCCGCGGUAAUACGGAGGAUCCAAGCGUUAUCCGGAAUCAUUGGGUUUAAAGGGUCCGCAGGCGGCCUGUUAAGUCAGAGGUGAAAGCCAACAGCUCAACUGUUGAACUGCCUUUGAUACUAAUAGGCUUGAGUUAUUGUGAAGUGGUUAGAAUGUGUGGUGUAGCGGUGAAAUGCUUAGAUAUCACACAGAAUACCCAUUGCGAAGGCAGAUCACUAACAAUAUACUGACGCUCAUGGACGAAAGCGUGGGGAGCGAACGGGAUUAGAUACCCUGGUAGUCCACGCCGUAAACGAUGGUCACUAGCUGUUCGGAUUUCGAUCUGAGUGGCUAAGCGAAAGUGAUAAGUGACCCACCUGGGGAGUACGUUCGCAAGAAUGAAACUCAAAGGAAUUGACGGGGGCCCGCACAAGCGGUGGAGCAUGUGGUUUAAUUCGAUGAUACGCGAGGAACCUUACCAGGGCUUAAAUGUGGUUUGACAGCUUUAGAGAUAGAGUUUUCUUCGGACAAAUCACAAGGUGCUGCAUGGCUGUCGUCAGCUCGUG